AGAGUUUGAUCCUGGCUCAGGACGAACGCUGGCGGCGUGCCUAACACAAGCAAGUCGAGCGAGGGGAGUUCUUCGGAACAAACCUAGCGGCGGACGGGUGAGUAACACGUGGGCAACCUGCCUCAAAGAGGGGAAUAGCCUCCCGAAAGGGAGAUUAAUACCGCAUAACGUUAUUUCUUCGCAUGAAGAGAUAACCAAAGGAGUAAUCCGCUUUGAGAUGGGCCCGCGGCGCAUUAGCUAGUUGGUGAGGUAACGGCUCACCAAGGCGACGAUGCGUAGCCGACCUGAGAGGGUGAUCGGCCACAUUGGAACUGAGAUACGGUCCAGACUCCUACGGGAGGCAGCAGUGGGGGAUAUUGCGCAAUGGGGGAAACCCUGACGCAGCAACGCCGCGUGAGUGAUGAAGGUCUUCGGAUUGUAAAACUCUGUCUU
rnacentral:rRNA from 1 species